UACAGAGGUCUCAAGCGUUGUUCGGAUUCAUUGGGCGUAAAGGGUGCGUAGGUGGUGGGGUAAGUCGGAUGUGAAAUCCCGGGGCUCAACCCCGGAGCUGCAUUCGAUACUGCCUUGCUCGAGUACUGGAGAGGAGACUGGAAUUUACGGUGUAGCAGUGAAAUGCGUAGAUAUCGUAAGGAAGACCAGUGGCGAAGGCGAGUCUCUGGACAGUUCCUGACACUGAGGCACGAAGGCCAGGGGGAGCAAACGGGG
rnacentral:rRNA from 1 species